rnacentral:rRNA from 1 species
AGCGAACGCUGGCGGCAGGCCUAACACAUGCAAGUCGAACGGAUCCUUCGGGAUUAGUGGCGGACGGGUGAGUAACACGUGGGAACGUGCCCUUUGGUUCGGAACAACUCAGGGAAACUUGAGCUAAUACCGGAUGUGCCCUUCGGGGGAAAGAUUUAUCGCCAUUGGAGCGGCCCGCGUCUGAUUAGCUAGUUGGUGAGGUAAAGGCUCACCAAGGCGACGAUCAGUAGCUGGUCUGAGAGGAUGAUCAGCCACAUUGGGACUGAGACACGGCCCAAACUCCUACGGGAGGCAGCAGUGGGGAAUCUUGCGCAAUGGGCGAAAGCCUGACGCAGCCAUGCCGCGUGAAUGAUGAAGGUCUUAGGAUUGUAAAAUUCUUUCACCGGGGACGAUAAUGACGGUACCCGGAGAAGAAGCCCCGGCUAACUUCGUGCCAGCAGCCGCAGUAACAC